UGGGGAAUAUUGCACAAUGGAGGGAACUCUGAUGCAGCGACGCCGCGUGAUCGAAGAAGGCUUUCGAGUCGUAAAGUUCUUUUAUAUGGGAAGAUAAUGACGGUACCAUAAGAAAAAGCCCCGGCUAACUACGUGCCAGCAGCCGCGGUAAUACAUAGGGGGCUAGCGUUGUCCGGAAUCACUGGGCGUAAAGGGUUCGCAGGCGGAAAUGCAAGUCAGGUGUAAAAGGCAGUAGCUUAACUACUGUAAGCAUUUGAAACUGCAUAUCUUGAGAAGAGUAGAGGUAAGUGGAAUUUUUAGUGUAGCGGUGAAAUGCGUAGAUAUUAAAAAGAAUACCGGUGGCGAAGGCGACUUACUGGGCUCAUUCUGACGCUGAGGAACGAAAGCGUGGGUAGCAAACAGG
rnacentral:rRNA from 1 species